UACGUAGGGUGCAAGCGUUGUCCGGAAUUAUUGGGCGUAAAGAGCUCGUAGGCGGUCUGUUGCGUCGGCUGUGAAAACCCGGGGCUCAACUCCGGGCCUGCAGCCGAUACGGGCAGACUAGAGUGUGGUAGGGGAGACUGGAAUUCCUGGUGUAGCGGUGAAAUGCGCAGAUAUCAGGAGGAACACCGAUGGCGAAGGCAGGUCUCUGGGCCACUACUGACGCUGAGAAGCGAAAGCAUGGGGAGCGAACAGG
rnacentral:rRNA from 1 species